rnacentral:lncRNA from 1 species
ACAGAUACAAAAGGAGUGAACCGAGGAAUCCGUCCAAUCCUCAAUUCCCGUAUCCACGACGGGAACAACCUAAUAUGGGCCAGAGUACAAGAGAGUCAGUCAGGUCAGAACCCUGGUUCCAAAAUCCACCACGGCAACCACCUCAAAAUAUGGGCCAGGAUACAAGCGAGUCAGUCAGGUCAGAACCCUGGUUCCAUAAUCCACCACGGCAACCACCUCAAAAUAUGGGCCAGAAUACAAGAGAGUCAGUCAGGUCAGAACCCUGGUUCCAAUAUCCACCACGGCAACCACCACAAAAUAUGGGCCAGAAUACGAGAGAGACAGUUAGGUCAGCACCCCAGUUCCCAUAUCAACGACGGCAAC